rnacentral:tRNA from 1 species
GGGGUAAUAGCUCAGCUGGAAGAGCGCGGCGUUCGCAACGCUGAGGUCGGGGGUUCAAAUCCCCCUUACUCCACCA